GUUGGGCGUGACGAGGACGACGUCUUGGUCCAUCACGUAGUGCGGAUUGUAUUGUUGUGCAGAGCCGAAAAAGUGGCCCCCUAAGUGAAGAACGACCACGACUGGGUAAAGUUUCGUGAGAUGACCGGAUUUGGGUAACUGAAAUUUUAUAAACACCUUUGGAGUAAAAACGUUCAAAUUCAGACACUCUUUUUCCCCAGUGAAUUCUCCGUUUAAGCAAUCAAACUGGGCGCAGACUGGGCCAAACGCGGUAGCAUUGAAGACAUUUGACCACUUGUCGGCAGGGACGGAUGGCUGCAUAAUUAGUCAAAUUGAUGCAUAUUUAAUUUAAAUACUCGAAAGGAGUUUACUUUUCGCACCUGAAAUCUUUCAACGACUUUUCCGAAUGGAAUUCCCUUAAAUUGAUAGAACACUCGACCACCUCUCGCAUUCUCCGUGGAACCCUGAACUAAUCCGUCUCCUAAUUCGAGCAAGGGUUCCUCAGCCAAAGUUGGAGUGACCGCUGCACCCACAACGAAAAGUAGAAGACAGGCCAAAAAUGUACGAAAACUCAUUUCUCUAGUUUUUUAAGAGUUUUUAUCCGACUCAAUCUAAAGUCAGCACAUCAUCCUAGCAGCAUUAUCAGCGGAAUGGGACUGAAAAAAGAAUGAGAAGAACGCAAAAGGAAAGUUUGGCAUGUCAAUAUUGUGCAGUUUUUUGCCGGUGAUGCAUGAUGCUAUUGACCAAGGUUAAUGGGAAUAAUCGUGAAUGCAACGUUCCUACAUUUACUCGACUGAAGUGGGUUUUGCAAUGUGUAAAAUUCGUACAAUUCGCGUUUCUGCAACUAUUACGUAAAGACAUGGGUACAAUUAUGCACCCACACAUGUAUUUUAGUGCUGGGUGUCGAGUUUUUAGCCUGUUUAGCAUGGUGACUUAUGUCUGUCGACACAAAAAGCGUUUUAUUAACGUUGCUUUGCAUGAAGAUGUACUUCCAAUUAAUUAUUUCAGGCAUUUCUUCGCGACAAUAUAACGUUUUAUACUAUGUUUACUUACAUGUAGAAUUAGUAUAAUUUUACUUCACUAGUUAAAUACUUUGCUACUGUAAUCUGUGUUUUGCUGGAGAUUGGCAAUACCUGCAUCUAUAAUCUUAUGCACACUCUCGAUAAUCUUUGGAUAAGAUUGUUCCCGGUGGAAGCAGUAUGCACUAUGCAAUUCUACCAAUUUGGUAACUUGCCACUCAAGUGAGAAGGUAAACCCUGCUCAAUCCAUCAUAUCAGCGACCUAGUAUGUAACUUGAUUAAAUUGGAUAUUUUACUAAAUUUCUGAAAGUAAUGAGAAUUAGUCAGCAAAUAAAUAAUCUAAUUUAAUUAGA